AUUGAACGCUGGCGGAAUGCUUUAUACAUGCAAGUCGAGCGGCAGCGCGGGGCAACCUGGCGGCGAGCGGCGAACGGGUGAGUAAUGCAUCGGAACAUGUCCAUUUGUGGGGGAUAGCCCGGCGAAAGCCGGAUUAAUACCGCAUACGCCCCGAGGGGGAAAGCGGGGGACUUCGCAAGAGGCCUCGCGCGAAUGGGUUGGCCGAUGUCCGAUUAGCUAGUUGGUGAGGUAAAGGCUCACCAAGGCGAUGAUCGGUAGCUGGUCUGAGAGGAUGAUCAGCCACACUGGGACUGAGACACGGCCCAGACUCCUACGGGAGGCAGCAGUGGGGAAUUUUGGACAAUGGGGGCAACCCUGAUCCAGCCAUUCCGCGUGAGUGAAGAAGGCCU
rnacentral:rRNA from 1 species